UGUAUAUAUGUCUGAAUGAUUUUUGACAAGGUUGUCAAGACCAUUCAACAGGAAAAGGACAGUGUUUUCAACAAAUGAUGUUGGGAAAAUUGAUAUCUAC